CUCAAGCCGAUGGAAGUUUGAGGCAAUAACAGGUUGGCACACAGGCCUGUAAAAGUAGGUUUUGACCUGCUAGUCUAGCACCUAAUCUCCGUGAAGAAGUCUUCUUCUACCGGGCGGAGAGAUGCGAAAGCAUUCGGUGUGGGCAACACUACCUGGAACAGGGGACGCUGGAGGCCUUUGGGUACUUGGCCGACCCUGUGGCGAGCUCGAGUAACGUUGAGCCGUCGCAACGCGCGCAAAGGAGUGGG
rnacentral:rRNA from 1 species